CUCGGGAGGCCAGCCAAGCAGCCUAUGACGCGAGUUCGGCUCUUCAGAGCAACGUCCAGAAAUCCUGCGAACUCGUAGCUCGCUAUACUGAGUUGGAGAAGCAGAAGAUUCAACUGAACCUUGAUCUGGAGCUGGCCAGAACAGAGCUGCAGAAGGUCAGAGACGGCGCCGCAGAAAAACUGAACGAAGCUCUGGCGAAGAAGGAUC